rnacentral:misc_RNA from 1 species
AAGACUAUAGACCUGCGGAGUACCUGCGGAAGGAUCAUUAACGAUUUCGGUGUAAAAAACCGUUUUCUACCUAUGUCUACGCGUACCACUUGUUUCCUCGGGGGGCUUGCCCCCCGCUAGGACCCUUUAUCAAACCUUUUUGUAAUAGCAGUCAGCGUCUGAUACUACGUUAAUUAUUAAAACUUUUAACAAUGGAUCUCU